rnacentral:rRNA from 1 species
CCUACGGGUGGCAGCAGUGGGGAAUAUUGCACAAUGGGGGAAACCCUGAUGCAGCGACGCCGCGUGAGCGAAGAAGUAUUUCGGUAUGUAAAGCUCUAUCAGCAGGGAAGAAGGUGACGGUACCUGACUAAGAAGCCCCGGCUAACUACGUGACAGCAGCCGCGGUAAUACGUAGGGGGCAAGCGUUAUCCGGAUUUACUGGGUGUAAAGGGAGCGUAGACGGCGAUGCAAACCAGAUGUGAAAGCCGGGGGCUCACCCCCGGGACUGCAUUUGGAACUGUGUGGCUGGAGUGUUUGAGAGGCAGGUGGAAUUCCUAGUGUAGCGGUGAAAUGCGUAGAUAUUAGGAGGAACACCAGUGGCGAAGGCGGCCUGUUGGACGUUGACUGACGUUGAUGCUCGAAAGCGUGGGGAGCAAACAGGAUUAGAUACCCGAGUAGUC